AACGCACAUUGCGCCCGUUAGUAUUCUGACGGGCAUGCCUGUCCGAGCGUCAUUUAAACCCUUAAGCCCAGCUUAGCGUUGGCGGAUUGCUGCGUCCAGCGCUGCAACCGCCCAAAUCCAUUGGCGGUCCCGCCGCGGCUCCCUUGCGUAGUAACGUUUAGUCUCGCAUCGGGUCCCGGCGGAGGCCUGCCGUCAAGCCUAUUUAUUCUCAGAAUAGUUUGACCUCGGAUCAGGUAGGGUUACCCGCUGAACUUAA
rnacentral:misc_RNA from 1 species